rnacentral:rRNA from 1 species
UACGAAGGGGGCUAGCGUUGUUCGGAAUUACUGGGCGUAAAGCGCACGUAGGCGGACUUUUAAGUCAGAGGUGAAAUCCCGGGGCUCAACCCCGGAACUGCCUUUGAUACUGGGAGUCUAGAGUAUGGUAGAGGUGAGUGGAAUACCGAGUGUAGAGGUGGAAUUCGUAGAUAUUCGGUAGAACACCAGUGGCGAAGGCGGCUCACUGGACCAUUACUGACGCUGAGGUGCGAAAGCGUGGGGAGCAAACAGG